UACAGAGGGGGCAAGCGUUAUUCGGAAUUACUGGGCGUAAAGCGCACGUAGGCGGAUUUGUAAGUCAGGGGUGAAAUCCCGGGGCUCAACCUCGGAACUGCCUUUGAUACUGCAAAUCUCGAGUCCGGAAGAGGUGAGUGGAAUUCCUAGUGUAGAGGUGAAAUUCGUAGAUAUUAGGAAGAACACCAGUGGCGAAGGCGGCUCACUGGUCCGGUACUGACGCUGAGGUGCGAAAGCGUGGGGGAGCAAACAGG
rnacentral:rRNA from 1 species